CCUAACGGGGGGCUGCAGUGGGGAAUAUUGGACAAUGGGGGCAACCCUGAUCCAGCCAUGCCGCGUGUGUGAAGAAGGCCCUCGGGUUGUAAAGCACUUUCAGUGAGGAAGAACGCCUGGUGGUUAAUACCCAUCAGGAAAGACAUCACUCACAGAAGAAGCACCGGCUAACUCCGUGCCAGCAGCCGCGGUAAUACGGAGGGUGCGAGCGUUAAUCGGAAUUACUGGGCGUAAAGCGCGCGUAGGUGGCUUGAUAAGCCGGUUGUGAAAGCCCCGGGCUCAACCUGGGAACGGCAUCCGGAACUGUCAAGCUAGAGUGCAGGAGAGGAAGGUAGAAUUCCCGGUGUAGCGGUGAAAUGCGUAGAGAUCGGGAGGAAUACCAGUGGCGAAGGCGGCCUUCUGGACUGACACUGACACUGAGGUGCGAAAGCGUGGGUAGCAAACAGGAUUAGAUACCCUUGUAGUC
rnacentral:rRNA from 1 species